CAUCUUCUCGUGGUGAUCCACUCUCACUGUGUAGCUUCUCGAAUCUCCCUGCCUAUUCCCCACCUCCACCAUUCCCCGUUCUCCCUAUCUCAUUUGUUCCUCGCAUUGCCGGCUCGACGCCGCCCCUCGCCGUGGCUCCUGCGUCUCCUCUCAGCCCGCAGUAGGACUCGAGUGGUCCUCGUCUGCCUGCGCAGCACGCCCGGCGAGGUACGUGGUUCUCUCGAGGUAGAGGGUGGCUUAGAGAGGGAGAAGCCGGCGGACAGGGUGAUGAGCUCGGAAGAAUAGGAGGGAGGAAGCGAGGCCGCCAGAGGCAGAGGAGAAGAGGCAAUCGAGUGCUCCUUGCCUGAAAGCGAGGCCGCCAAAGCCAGAGGAGAAGAGGAAGCGGCAGGGUAGGGCGUGGUGAUUACGGGAUCUCCGACAUGCUCACCAUUGGGGAGCGGCGGCGGUCAGAGCUAGCUAGACGCUGCAAGUAUCCAUGGGAGGUUCACGGUUCAGAUUUCGGAUCAUUCACAAGUCGUGCAGCCCGCGGUUCGACAUGGGACCUUUUGUGCUUCCUCAAGAACUUCUGCACCGUGAGCCUGACAAAGACGGCAGCCAUGCUCUUUCCUCCUCUGUCAAGGUAAGCUACGUCAGCAGAAACACACAAAUUGUAUACGCCUGCUUACAUUGUAUAAGCCUAAUUACAUUACAUAUAUAUCAUAUAAUAAACGCAAUCAAUCCUAGUGUUCACUGUUGAUAUGUGAUAGAACAACAGCAAAGAGGUGUGAAUUUGUUCUUCUUUGCAGUACCUGUUUUGUUGUGGUUCACAUGUAACAAUACAGUGGCAACUAAAUAUAUAUUUUUGC